UCCUGCCAGCACCUUCUUGUAUUUUUACCCCUUUAACUGCGACAACCUGGUUUUCUGCAAACGACGGAGGACACAGAGGACAUGCAGUGGCCAGCAGCUGUUUGACACAUGCACGGAGCCUCCACCAGCGCUGCUGCUGCUGCUGCUGCUGCACACCGGGGGGAGAGUUCACGUCACAGAAACGGUCGUGUAUUUACGCCACUUAUUUGUUGGAGAAGUGUUUGCGUCCACGGCUCCUCGCGCCACACUCCGGCGCGUAAAAGCUCAGGUCACCUGGACGAGACAGCGGUCUCUUUUCCCUUUGUGAGUAAAACUUCUGCAUGGCACCUGUUCAUUCGUUUGUUUGUUUUGUUUUGUUUUGUUUGCUGCAGGCUGGAGGAGGAGAGCGCCUUUAGGUCCGAACAUGCAGCCGAACAUGACUCAGUGACCACCAGGUUCCAUCGAUACCACGGUCCUUCCUGCUGCUGCAAGUCGGAGAAAAAUUGAAAAGGAGAAUAUAAAUGCAGUUGGGGUUGUUUUUUGUCGAAAUGAAUGCGUCGAGGCCAGACUUCUGAAUGUGUCUUUCUCGUCGGGUUGGACACAUGAUUUCACACAGUGCAACACCUUUUUAAAGGGCCAAUUAACUGUGAUUAUGCUCGCAAAGAAGGGGAAAAAAGGUGCUGCUCCCUGACUCUAUAGCCUGUGGGGGAAUAGUUUACUUUUCUGCGUCAUUUAAAAGUCGACCUUAAACGGGUUUGUGGAAGGCUGCGCAGGAACACCUCGCGUCUUAGACGCGUUUGCUCUCCAGAAAAUGUGCCUUUUUCCUCCCUUUUCUUUUCUUUUUUUUGUCCUGCCUUUGGUUGGAGUGCACGAAUGCAAUGCUGCUUCCUUCCUCCAUCCCCGGAAGAGAGGUGUGCUGUGUUCACUCACCUGCACAGAAUCCGUUUAUCAGAUUGUCUGGUAAGACCGACUACAGGCAGAUGCCAUUUAGAAUCAACUCGAAAAAAACACAAACAAUAUGAUUUUUGCGCAAUUAAGUGCGUAAAGUAGUAGCUGCUGCUAUUUUUAUUUUAGUCUCCUCUAACCACAUUAGUCCUCACAGCACCUGAACACAACUGUGUGAGUAAACUAGACACAGAUCCUUUACAGCACUGAUGGCUGCAAUGUUUGUGUGUCAAGAUAUGGUUUACAACAUUCUCCCCUCUAUGCAUUAGGGCCUCUACAGGCCAAUUUCCUUUAUGUCACACUGAACUCCCAUAACCAGACAAUAACUGAUUGUUUACUUUGGCUAUACAUUGCAAAUAAGAAUAAUCUGGCGAGGGUGAGGUAUCCAUAGUUGAGUGGACUGGUGUGGUUCGACUGUGGCCCUCAAACCUACAACACACAGUUUGUACAGCUAUUCUUCUUGGGACACUGCGUUCACUUCCAUUCAUUUGUACAGAAUAAACACAGUGUUAUCCCCGA